GACGAACGCUGGCGGCGUGCCUAAUACAUGCAAGUAGAACGCAGUUGCGAACGGGUGAGUAACGCGUAGGUAACUGCCUGGUAGCGGGGGAUAACUAUUGGAAACGAUAGCUAAUACCGCAUACCACCAGAAGGAACCGGGUUGUAUUAGGUAGUUGGUGGGGUUACCGCUCACCAAGGCAACGAUACAUAGCCGACCUGAGAGGGUGAUCGGCCACACUGGGACUGAGACACGGCCCAGACUCCUACGGGAGGCAGCAGUAGGGAAUCUUCGGCAAUGGACGGAAGUCUGACCGAGCAACGCCGCGUGAGUGAAGAAGGUUUUCGGAUCGUAAAGCUCUGUUGUAAGAGAAGCGGUAUCUUACCAGAAAGGGACGGCUAACUACGUGCCAGCAGCCGCGGUAAUUC
rnacentral:rRNA from 1 species